rnacentral:rRNA from 1 species
GGUUAAGCGACUAAGCGUACACGGUGGAUGCCCUGGCAGUCAGAGGCGAUGAAGGGCGUGCUAAUCUGCGAUAAGCGCCGGUAAGGUGAUAUGAACCGUUAUAACCGGCGAUACCCGAAUGGGGAAACCCAGUGUGAUUCGUCACACUAUCAUUAACUGAAUCCAUAGGUUAAUGAGGCGAACCGGGGGAACUGAAACAUCUAAGUACCCCGAGGAAAAGAAAUCAACCGAGAUUCCCCCAGUAGCGGCGAGCGAACGGGGAGGAGCCCAGAGCCUGAAUCAGCAUGUGUGUUAGUGGAAGCGUCUGGAAAGGCGCGCGAUACAGGGUGACAGCCCCGUACACAAAAGCGCAUGUGCUGUGAGCUCGAUGAGUAGGGCGGGACACGUGGUAUCCUGUCUGAAUAUGGGGGGACCAUCCUCCAAGGCUAAAUACUCCUGACUGACCGAUAGUGAACCAGUACCGUGAGGGAAAGGCGAAAAGAACCCCGGCGAGGGGAGUGAAAAAGAACCUGAAACCGUGUACGUACAAGCAGUGGGAGCACAGGUUUACCUGUGUGACUGCGUACCUUUUGUAUAAUGGGUCAGCGACUUAUAUUCUGUAGCAAGGUUAACCGAAUAGGGGAGCCGGAGGGAAACCGAGUCUUAACCGGGCGUUAAGUUGCAGGGUAUAGACCCGAAACCCGGUGAUCUAGCCAUGGGCAGGUUGAAGGUUGGGUAACACUAACUGGAGGACCGAACCGACUAAUGUUGAAAAAUUAGCGGAUGACCUGUGGCUGGGGGUGAAAGGCCAAUCAAACCGGGAGAUAGCUGGUUCUCCCCGAAAGCUAUUUAGGUAGCGCCUCGUGAAUUCAUCUCCGGGGGUAGAGCACUGUUUCGGCUAGGGGGCCAUCCCGGCUUACCAACCCGAUGCAAACUGCGAAUACCGGAGAAUGUUAUCACGGGAGACACACGGCGGGUGCUAACGUCCGUCGUGAAGAGGGAAACAACCCAGACCGCCAGCUAAGGUCCCAAAGUCAUGGUUAAGUGGGAAACGAUGUGGGAAGGCCCAGACAGCCAGGAUGUUGGCUUAGAAGCAGCCAUCAUUUAAAGAAAGCGUAAUAGCUCACUGGUCGAGUCGGCCUGCGCGGAAGAUGUAACGGGGCUAAACCAUGCACCGAAGCUGCGGCAGCGACACUGUGUGUUGUUGGGUAGGGGAGCGUUCUGUAAGCCUGCGAAGGUGGCCUGUGAGGGUUGCUGGAGGUAUCAGAAGUGCGAAUGCUGACAUAAGUAACGAUAAAGCGGGUGAAAAGCCCGCUCGCCGGAAGACCAAGGGUUCCUGUCCAACGUUAAUCGGGGCAGGGUGAGUCGACCCCUAAGGCGAGGCCGAAAGGCGUAGUCGAUGGGAAACGGGUUAAUAUUCCCGUACUUGGUGUUACUGCGAAGGGGGGACGGAGAAGGCUAUGUUGGCCGGGCGACGGUUGUCCCGGUUUAAGCGUGUAGGUGUGUGUUCCAGGUAAAUCCGGUUCACUUUAACACUGAGGCGUGAUGACGAGGCACUACGGUGCUGAAGCAACAAAUGCCCUGCUUCCAGGAAAAGCCUCUAAGCAUCAGGUAACACGAAAUCGUACCCCAAACCGACACAGGUGGUCAGGUAGAGAAUACCAAGGCGCUUGAGAGAACUCGGGUGAAGGAACUAGGCAAAAUGGUGCCGUAACUUCGGGAGAAGGCACGCUGACAUGUAGGUGAAGUGAUUUACUCAUGGAGCUGAAGUCAGUCGAAGAUACCAGCUGGCUGCAACUGUUUAUUAAAAACACAGCACUGUGCAAACACGAAAGUGGACGUAUACGGUGUGACGCCUGCCCGGUGCCGGAAGGUUAAUUGAUGGGGUCAGCGCAAGCGAAGCUCCUGAUCGAAGCCCCGGUAAACGGCGGCCGUAACUAUAACGGUCCUAAGGUAGCGAAAUUCCUUGUCGGGUAAGUUCCGACCUGCACGAAUGGCGUAAUGAUGGCCAGGCUGUCUCCACCCGAGACUCAGUGAAAUUGAACUCGCUGUGAAGAUGCAGUGUACCCGCGGCAAGACGGAAAGACCCCGUGAACCUUUACUAUAGCUUGACACUGAACAUUGAGCCUUGAUGUGUAGGAUAGGUGGGAGGCUUUGAAGUGUGGACGCCAGUCUGCAUGGAGCCGACCUUGAAAUACCACCCUUUAAUGUUUGAUGUUCUAACGUGGACCCGUUACCCGGGUUGCGGACAGUGUCUGGUGGGUAGUUUGACUGGGGCGGUCUCCUCCUAAAGAGUAACGGAGGAGCACGAAGGUUGGCUAAUCCUGGUCGGACAUCAGGAGGUUAGUGCAAUGGCAUAAGCCAGCUUGACUGCGAGCGUGACGGCGCGAGCAGGUGCGAAAGCAGGUCAUAGUGAUCCGGUGGUUCUGAAUGGAAGGGCCAUCGCUCAACGGAUAAAAGGUACUCCGGGGAUAACAGGCUGAUACCGCCCAAGAGUUCAUAUCGACGGCGGUGUUUGGCACCUCGAUGUCGGCUCAUCACAUCCUGGGGCUGAAGUAGGUCCCAAGGGUAUGGCUGUUCGCCAUUUAAAGUGGUACGCGAGCUGGGUUUAGAACGUCGUGAGACAGUUCGGUCCCUAUCUGCCGUGGGCGCUGGAGAACUGAGGGGGGCUGCUCCUAGUACGAGAGGACCGGAGUGGACGCAUCACUGGUGUUCGGGUUGUCAUGCCAAUGGCACUGCCCGGUAGCUAAAUGCGGAAGAGAUAAGUGCUGAAAGCAUCUAAGCACGAAACUUGCCCCGAGAUGAGUUCUCCCUGAGACUUAAAGUCUCCUGAAGGAACGUUGAAGACGACGACGUUGAUAGGCCGGGUGUGUAAGCGCAGCGAUGCGUUGAGCUAACCGGUACUAAUGAACCGUGAGGCUUAACCUU